AAUCAAGUGCCUUAAGGGUGUUCGGUGGAUGCCUUGGCGCUGAGAGGCGAUGAAGGACGUGCUACGCUGCGAUAAGCCGUGGGGAGCUGCGAAGAAGCUUUGAUCCAUGGAUUUCCGAAUGGGGAAACCCACCUUCGAUAGCCGGAACUCCAAGACCUCAGUCGAAAGACUGUGGUGUGGGGUUCGAUCAGACAUGAGAGAUGCCUAGGCCUUUAGAUUUCGAUCGAAGAGGUUUUGGAUUUCCGGUUAUCAAGAGAAGGUAUGAGACUUCUGAAUACAUAGGAGGUUUCAAGCAAACCCAGGGAACUGAAACAUCUAAGUACCUGGAGGAAAGGACAUCAACAGAGACUCCGUUAGUAGUGGCGAGCGAACGCGGACCAGGCC
rnacentral:rRNA from 2 species